GCUCCCUUCGGAAUCACAUAAAUUAAAACUGGAACAAUGCAGAGAAGAGAGCAUGGCCCCUGUGCAAAGAUGACACACAGAUUCAUGAAGCACUCCAUCAUUUU